rnacentral:RNase_P_RNA from 1 species
CUGGAUGAUCGCGGAUGAUAUGAUUCUGAGGAAAGUCCGGGCACCUGAUAAACAAGAUGCCGGAGAACGUCCGGCGGCUGUUGCUUAAGCGGCAGUUUAGGGAAAGUGCCACAGAAAUGAUACCGCCUUCGGGUAAGGGUGAAAUGGUGCGGUAAGAGCGCACCGCGCGUUUGGUAACAAACGUGGCAGGGAAAGCCCCCAGAAAUGGGG